rnacentral:rRNA from 1 species
UACGUAGGUGGCAAGCGUUGUCCGGAAUUAUUGGGCGUAAAGCGCGCGCAGGCGGUUUCUUAAGUCUGAUGUGAAAGCCCACGGCUCAACCGUGGAGGGUCAUUGGAAACUGGGGAACUUGAGUGCAGAAGAGGAGAGCGGAAUUCCACGUGUAGCGGUGAAAUGCGUAGAGAUGUGGAGGAACACCAGUGGCGAAGGCGGCUCUCUGGUCUGUAACUGACGCUGAGGCGCGAAAGCGUGGGGAGCGAACAGG